UAACUGCCCGAAAGGGUAGCUAAUACCUCAUAGUCUCCGAUUUAUUCGGAGUAAAGAUUUAUCGCUUCGGGAGGGGCCUGCGUCCGAUUAGCUAGUUGGUGAGGUAAAUGCUCACCAAGGCGACGAUCGGUAGCUGGUUUGAGAGGGAUGACCAGUCACACUGGGACUGAGAUUACGGCCCAGACUCCUACGGGAGGCAGCAGUAAGGAAUCUUCCACAAUGGGGGGCAACCCUGAUGGAGCAAUACCGCGUGCAGGAUGAAGCGUUUCGGCGUGUAAACUGCUUUUAUCUGUGAUGAUUAUGACAGUAGCAGAAGAAUAAGGAUCGGCUAACUACGUG
rnacentral:rRNA from 1 species